AAGGAAGCCUUCGGGUGGAAUGUAACAGACUUAGUGGCGGACGGGUGAGUAACGCGUGGAUAACCUGCCUUAUACAGGGGUGAUAACGGAGAGAAAUUUCCGCUAAGACCGCAUAAGACCACAGCACCGCAUGGUGCGGGGGUAAAAUAUUUAUAGGUAUAAGAUGGAUCCGCGUCCGAUUAGCUAGUUGGUGAGGUAGAGGCUCACCAAGGCGACGAUCGGUAGCCGGCCUGAGAGGGUGAACGGCCACAUUGGGACUGAGACACGGCCCAAACUCCUACGGGAGGCAGCAGUGGGGAAUAUUGGACAAUGGGGGAAACCCUGAUCCAGCGACGCCGCGUGAGUGAAGAAGUAUUUCGGUAUGUAAAGCUCUAUCAGCAGGGAAGAAAAUGACGGUACCUGACUAAGAAGCCCCGGCUAACUACGUGCCAGCAGCCGCGGUAAUACGUAGGGGGCAAGCGUUAUCCGGAUUUACUGGGUGUAAAGGGAGCGCAGACGGCGAAGCAAGUCUGAAGUGAAAUGCAUGGGCUCAACCCAUGAAUUGCUUUGGAAACUGUUUGGCUUGAGUGUCUGGAUGGGGUAAGCGGAAUUCCUAGUGUAGCGGUGAAAUGCGUCGAUAUUAGGAGGAACACCUGGAGGCGAAGGCGGCUUACUGGACGACAACUGACGUUGAGGC
rnacentral:rRNA from 1 species